AACGAACGCUGGCGGCAUGCCUAACACAUGCAAGUCGAACGAGACCUUCGGGUCUAGUGGCGCACGGGUGCGUAACGCGUGGGAACCUGCCCUUAGGUUCGGAAUAACUCCCCGAAAGGGGUGCUAAUACCGGAUAAUGUCUUCGGACCAAAGAUUUAUCGCCUUUGGAUGGGCCCGCGUUGGAUUAGCUAGUUGGUAGGGUAAAAGCCUACCAAGGCGUCGAUCCAUAGCUGGUCUGAGAGGAUGAUCAGCCACACUGGGACUGAGACACGGCCCAGACUCCUACGGGAGGCAGCAGUGGGGAAUAUUGGACAAUGGGCGAAAGCCUGAUCCAGCAAUGCCGCGUGAGUGAUGAAGGCCUUAGGGUUGUAAAGCUCUUUUACCCGGGAUGAUAAUGACAGUACCGGGAGAAUAAGCGCCGGCUAACUCCGUG
rnacentral:rRNA from 1 species